rnacentral:lncRNA from 1 species
UUGUGUCCUCAUAGCUUAUCUCCCACCUAUACAUGAGAACAUACAAUAUUUGGUUUUCCAUUCCAUCUCAGAGGCCUUCAAGCCCCCAGGCCUGGUUCCUACUCUAUCAACUGCUCUCUGUCUCCAAAAGACUGUCCUUGCUAAUGUCACCAAGGACCUCUAUGAGCCAAAUUUAGGACUUUUCAGCCUUCAUUUGACUCCCAGUCCCUUCAAUAUUGAAGGCUGUUGACUACCCCUUCAUUUGGAAUCUCUCUGUCCCUUCUUUCAUGUCCUCACACUCUCUCUGACUAGUCCUCCCUCAAGCUUCUCACAAGGAAUGGCUUCCCUUUUCUUCAUACUGCACACUACUGCAGGGUAAGUUAAUCUAGCUCUUUGCAGGGAGCUGUGGACAGAGCUUGGACACACAGGCUGGGGCGUCUACACGUGCAUGCAAGCUCUCAACACACAGGAAGGAACUGGAGGUGGGAAAAUAACUCUCAGGCUGGUCAUGAUCUCUCAAACCAGAAUUCCCUUCAUGCCAGCUGCCUAUGGAGCCUCUAGUCAGUCAUUGUGAUGGUCAUGAGUGACCUCACUGAGUGCUGACUGUGAGCCAGGCUGAGUGAUGCACUUUACGUGGAUUAUCACCCUCUGUGGAGUCCCACACUCCUGUGACUCAGGUGUUGUUACUUCCCUUCAAGGCAUCAAGAAGUUAAGGGACUACCCAAGGCCACUGUAGCUAAGUGAGAAGAUGGCUGUCUGCAACUGCCCUAAGGGCCAUCACAAGAACUCAACCGUGCAGGUCUUGAUCUCAGACUUCCAGCCUCCAGAACUGGGAAACGCCAUGUGAAGAUUAUGGAUUUCUGCUGCCACAAGCCAAGUAACUACCAGAAGCCAGGAGAGAGGGCUGGAGCAAGGGAGCCUGGCCCUGACGACACCUUGAUCUCAGACUUCGGGCCUCCAUAAUUGCACGAGCCACCAUGCCCGACCAGGACCGGUGUUCUUAUAAGAAGAGAGAGACAUCAGGAAUGGGUGUGUACAGAGAAAAGGACACAGCAAGAUGGUGGCCAUUUGCAAGCCAAGGAGAGAGACCUCAGGAGAAACCAACCCGCCAGCACCUUGAUCUUAGACUUCCAGUCUCCAAAAUUGGGAGAAAAUAAACGUUUGUUGUUUAAGACCCCAAUCUGAUAUUUUGUAAUGGCAGCCCUAGCAGACGAAUACACCCACUGUACCAUCUCUUUACCCCAGUAGACUAUGAAACCCUUGGGGACAGGCACCAUUUCUUCAUCCCUCUGUAUUUCAAUGCCUAGCAUAGUGUCUGGUACCUGGAAGAUGGCCAAAAAAUACUAUCUGAAGGAAUGGUCAAUGAGCAUGUGUGACUCUUACAUGACAAUAUAAUACUGGUCAAAUGCCAGAUCAGAACCUUGAGAUGGCUCCCAUGGAGUCAUUAACAUGCUCUAAUUCACUAAUUGAGGUAGCAAUUGAUCUGGGGCUGGAGUCAGGAAGGGAUAGGUUACAGUGAAGUGUCAAAUAGAACCUGUUCACUGAGUUCCCUUGGCCCAGUGCUUGAUGACAGGAUGUCAAACAUUUUUAUUCCC